UGACCUGGCCAGCCCUGCCACUUACCAGGUUGGGCUGUGGCUUGCCUUUUCACUUCUUGUGUCCUGUUUAAGAAAUAUCUGCUAUCCCAAGCAUCUGGCAUCUUUCUUGACAUAUGUAGCAGUUGCUUUUUGACAGCUUGCUUCUUCAGUGAAUGAAUAAAUUAAUAAAGAGAAAUGUGAUGUUCAGUGAUCCAUUUUGCAGAUUGCAAACUCCUAGAGAAGGGCUCAACAGUGAGUGCUGAGGCUGCACAGAGGAGGAAGGCAGCACAAUGAUGGAAGGCUUCCUAAAGAGAUAACACUAACAAAGUUGACCUUAGAAUUGGAGUGCCUGGGUUAGAACCCUGCUGGUACCACCUGCUUACUGCAUGCUUCUGAUGUGAGUUCAGGAGAAGACACUGGCAAGGACAGCAAAGAACAGGAGAACACUCUAGCUUCCCUGAUAGCAUUCAAGGUGCUGUCCAAACUGACUGUGAUGGCACCCUCCAGACAGACAGCGAUGCCACAUGUUCAAGAUGGCAGAAUCACUAUCAGCUUCAAUUCCUGAAUGACUGCAGAGCAAAAUUUCUUACCUGCAACAUACACUCUAUUUUCAGCCUCCCUGGACUGUUACAUAAUGAUACAUAAAAAUAUUUCUUGUGUUGAGGCAUCCCAAAUUUGAUUUAUUUGUCAUCACAGUCUAUCCUAUGAAUAUAUUUCUGAUCCAAAUAAUGCUAGAUUCAUGAGAGUUUAUAGUCCAGAGAUUUUUUUUUUUUUUUUGAGACAGAAUCUGUCUCCCAGGCUGGGGUGCAGUGGCAUAAUCUUAGCUCACUGCAACCUCUGCCUCCCGGGCUCAAGUGAUCCUCCCUCCUUAGCCUCCAUGAGUAGCUGGGACCACAGGUGUGCACCACCACACCCCGCUAAUUAUUUUGUAUUUUUUGCAGAGGGGGGUUUCACCACAUUGCCCAAGCUGGUCUCAAACUCCUAGACUUAAGGGAUCUGCCUGCCUUGGCCUCCCAAAAUGCUGAAAUUACACUUGUUAGCCAUAGUAAUAGUUCCUAGCCAUAGUCCGGAGAUAUUUUAAAAACUUUAGUGUGAGUUAUUUCUCUUUGCUAUAAUUCUCUCAUGCAUUUUGAAAACCUUUUCUGCCAUACAGUGGUUUUUGGGAAGUCCUUUUGGACAGACAUAUCACAGGAUGGAGAAACUAAAAAGAGAGAAUGCAUUAAAGAAAAAAUAGUACUUCGUAUUUCAGAAAUUACAAAAGGGUGUCAUGCCCCACAGCAUGGUGGGCAGUCAUUUGUAACCCACAGAACAUUGAGUUUCUAAAAUUUGAGUGUUUUUAACUUACGAAGGCCAACUUUACUGAUGAAGUGAUUACCCCAAAUAUGUGAAAUCCAUAUUUCAAGUACAAUAGUAGGAAAUUGGAAAUGGGCUCUUGAGUUUCUGCUUUCAAGUGACCCUCAGAAAUUCCUCCAUUCACUGCAGAGGUUCUGUUUCUCCUUGCUUUGUUCUGACUUUACGGCAGAACUAAGCUAAUGAGUUAGUUACUAUGGGUUAUCACUUGGAUUUGAAGAACCAUCAUUUCUAGGCAUUGCUGCUCAGAGUGGGUCUGCCCUCAGGGGAAGCUGUCUAACCAGAGCCUAACCCACUAGGGUUUUAUCAGAACCUAACUGACCUGAGGAAAAGAAAUACUCAACUCCAGCAAGCUCCAGCCUUCCAAAUGGAGGAGGAGAAAACCCAACUCCAGCCCACUUCAGCUAUCUUGUCCCACAUAAAGGGGAAGUGGAAGAAACCUGAGAAGCAGGCAUGAAGUUCACAGUCCAGAGGUACAGACACAUCAGAGUUCAGUAUCUGAUGAAUUAGAUGCAAAAACCUCAACAAAGUAUUAGCAAAUUGAAUUCAACAAUGUAUGAAAAUUAUUACAUGCCAUGACUAAUUGGAAUUUAUCUCAGGUAUACAAGCCACGCUGAACAUCUGAAAAUCAAUUCAUGUGAUCCAUCACAUUAGCAGACUCAAGAAAAAAAA
ensembl:lncRNA CASC19 cancer susceptibility 19